AGACCCGAAACCCGGUGAUCUAGCCAUGGGCAGGUUGAAGGUUGGGUAACACUAACUGGAGGACCGAACCGACUAAUGUUGAAAAAUUAGCGGAUGACCUGUGGCUGGGGGUGAAAGGCCAAUCAAACCGGGAGAUAGCUGGUUCUCCCCGAAAGCUAUUUAGGUAGCGCCUCGUGAAUUCAUCUCCGGGGGUAGAGCACUGUUUCGGCUAGGGGGCCAUCCCGGCUUACCAACCCGAUGCAAACUGCGAAUACCGGAGAAUGUUAUCACGGGAGACACACGGCGGGUGCUAACGUCCGUCGUGAAGAGGGAAACAACCCAGACCGCCAGCUAAGGUCCCAAAGUCAUGGUUAAGUGGGAAACGAUGUGGGAAGGCCCAGACAGCCAGGAUGUUGGCUUAGAAGCAGCCAUCAUUUAAAGAAAGCGUAAUAGCUCACUGGUCGAGUCGGCCUGCGCGGAAGAUGUAACGGGGCUAAACCAUGCACCGAAGCUGCGGCAGCGACGCUGAUGCGUUGUUGGGUAGGGGAGCGUUCUGUAAGCCUGCGAAGGUGGCCUGUGAGGGUUGCUGGAGGUAUCAGA
rnacentral:rRNA from 3 species